GUGGUAGUCGUCUAGUGGCAAGGACUCCUGCCUUCCAAGCAGGCUACGCGGGUUCGAGUCCCGCCUACCGCAC
rnacentral:tRNA from 1 species